UACGUAGGUGGCAAGCGUUGUCCGGAUUUACUGGGCGUAAAGGAUGCGUAGGCGGACUUUUAAGUGGGAUGUGAAAUUCCGAGGCUCAACCUCGGCGCUGCAUUCCAAACUGGAAGUCUAGAGUGCGGGAGAGGAAAGUGGAAUUCCUAGUGUAGCGGUGAAAUGCGUAGAGAUUAGGAAGAACACCAGUGGCGAAGGCGACUUUCUGGACCGUAACUGACGCUGAGGCAUGAAAGCGUGGGGAGCAAACAGG
rnacentral:rRNA from 1 species